GGAAAAGGGCGGCAGCCUAACACAUGCAAGUCGAGCGGAAACGAGUUAACUGAACCUUCGGGGAACGUUAACGGCGUCGAGCGGCGGACGGGUGAGUAAUGCCUGGGAAAUUGCCCUGAUGUGGGGGAUAACCAUUGGAAACGAUGGCUAAUACCGCAUAAUAGCUUCGGCUCAAAGAGGGGGACCUUCGGGCCUCUCGCGUCAGGAUAUGCCCAGGUGGGAUUAGCUAGUUGGUGAGGUAAUGGCUCACCAAGGCGACGAUCCCUAGCUGGUCUGAGAGGAUGAUCAGCCACACUGGAACUGAGACACGGUCCAGACUCCUACGGGAGGCAGCAGUGGGGAAUAUUGCACAAUGGGCGCAAGCCUGAUGCAGCCAUGCCGCGUGUAUGAAGAAGGCCUUCGGGUUGUAAAGUACUUUCAGCAGUGAGGAAGGUGGGUAUGUUAAUAGCAUACACAUUUGACGUUAGCUGCAGAAGAAGCACCGGCUAACUCCGUGCCAGCAGCCGCGGUAAUACGGAGGGUGCGAGCGUUAAUCGGAAUUACUGGGCGUAAAGCGCAUGCAGGUGGCUUGUUAAGUCAGAUGUGAAAGCCCGGGGCUCAACCUCGGAAUUGCAUUUGAAACUGGCAAACUAGAGUACUGUAGAGGGGGGUAGAAUUUCAGGUGUAGCGGUGAAAUGCGUAGAGAUCUGAAGGAAUACCGGUGGCGAAGGCGGCCCCCUGGACAGAUACUGACACUCAGAUGCGAAAGCGUGGGGAGCAAACAGGAUUAGAUACCCUGGUAGUCCACGCCGUAAACGAUGUCUACUUGGAGGUUGUGGCCUUGAGCCGUGGCUUUCGGAGCUAACGCGUUAAGUAGACCGCCUGGGGAGUACGGUCGCAAGAUUAAAACUCAAAUGAAUUGACGGGGGGCCCGCACAAGCGGUGGAGCAUGUGGUUUAAUUCGAUGCAACGCGAAGAACCUUACCUACUCUUGACAUCUACAGAAACCAGCCGAAGACGCAGGUUGUGCCUUCGGGGAACUGUAAGGACAGGUGCUUCAUGGCCUGUCGUCA
rnacentral:rRNA from 1 species